CAUUACGCAACAUUAUUCAUUAUAAAUGUCUCAUUGUUCUGUCUAGCAACCAGAUGUGCUGAUGACAACUCUUUCACUCAAGGUAAAUUACGUGAUAAUGGGAAGAAAGGAAAUCAUUUCAUCUUGCAUUCAAUGGGAUGUAAUCAUCAGGUUGGCAUGUGCAGAAAAAAAAAAAAGCCAACAGUGACUUGAGACUGUUUAAGCUCCUGGUGGGUUCCCACACUUAUGUUCCAGUCAGUGUGAAAAGAGAACGGCAUGAACACUACAGCCUAGAACUCCAAGGAUCAAGAAAUCCUUCUGCUUCAGCCUCCCAAGUAGGCAGUUAUAUGUGUAUAUUGCCACUGAAGAUAUUUACUUACACGGUUAAGACUUCUUGUCUCCAUGGUUCCCUCCAUGAUGAUUAUUAAUUAAACCUCUGAAACACUGUCAAGUUCCAAACAGGAACCUAGCAUGACUACUCUCCAAAAAGCCCACAAGCAGCUGAAAGAGUCAGAUACAGAUAUUUACACCCAACCAAUGGACAGAAGCUGGUGACCCCUGUGGUUGAACUAGGGAAAUGCUGGAAGAGGCUGAGGAAAAGGUCGACCCUAUAGAAAGUCCAGUAGACUCAACUAACCUGGACUCUCGAGAUCUCUCAAACACUGAGCCACCAACCAGGCAGCAUACACCAGCUGAUACGAAGCCCCCAACACAUGCACAACAGAGGACUGCAGUGUCUAGACUCAGUAAGAGAAGAUGCACCUAACCCUCAAGAGACUUGAGGCCCCACGUAGGGAGGAGGUCUGGUGGGGUGGUUUCAAGAAAGCAGGGACACCCUCUUGGGUCAGGGAAGGCAGAGGAGGUUUGGAUGGGGAAUAAUCAGAGGGUGGACCGGGAGGGAGAUAAAGACUGGACUGUAAAAAAAGAUUAAAGAAUAACAAAGUUAGUUAUA